GGUGUAGGCGGCUUGGCAAGUCGGAUGUGAAAUCCCAGGGCCCAACCCUGGAACUGCAUUCGAAACUGCCUCGCUAGAGUCCCGGAGAGGGUGGCGGAAUUCCCGGUGUAGGGGUGAAAUCCGUAGAUAUCGGGAGGAACACCAGUGGCGAAGGCGGCCACCUGGACGGUGACUGACGCUCAGACCCGAAAGCGUGGGGAGCAAACAGGAUUAGAUACCCUGGUAGUCC
rnacentral:rRNA from 1 species